AUUGAACGCUGGCGGCAGGCCUAACACAUGCAAGUCGAACGGUAACAGGAAGAAGCUUGCUUCUUUGCUGACGAGUGGCGGACGGGUGAGUAAUGUCUGGGAAACUGCCUGAUGGAGGGGGAUAACUACUGGAAACGGUAGCUAAUACCGCAUAACGUCGCAAGACCAAAGAGGGGGACCUUCGGGCCUCUUGCCAUCGGAUGUGCCCAGAUGGGAUUAGCUAGUAGGUGGGGUAACGGCUCACCUAGGCGACGAUCCCUAGCUGGUCUGAGAGGAUGACCAGCCACACUGGAACUGAGACACGGGCCAGACUCCUAUGGGAGGCAGCAGUGGGGAAUAUUGCACAAUGGGCGCAAGCCUGAUGCAGCCAUGCCGCGUGUAUGAAGAAGGCCUUCGGGUUGUAAAGUACUUUCAGCGGGGAGGAAGGGAGUAAAGUUAAUACCUUUGCUCAUUGACGUUACCCGCAGAAGAAGCACCGGCUAACUCCGU
rnacentral:rRNA from 1 species